ACUCAUGUAAUAGGCUAUUACUGAAUUGACCACUCUGUGGAAGUGGAGCAGAAAUAAGAUUGAUGGAGAUGAAGAGAGACACUCAGGGAGGGGUCAUCUCACAAUGACUAAUGAGAGCCCAGCCCUGCCUGCUCAGGUCUCACUCAGCAGUGAUGGCGGAGGUGGGGAAAGUGAUCAGGUUUAGCUAAGCCUGACCUAAACGCAGCCCUUUUGUGACCCAAGUUGAUGCUGUUGGGCUCGUCUACAUGGGGAAUAUUACCAGCAUACUUAUACAGCGCCAGUUACACCAGUGUAAUGCCCCAUCUGGACACUCUUAUUCUGGGUGAAGCUGGCUUUUUCCCAGUGUAGCUGGCUUCACUUUCAAAACAAUAUAAGCUGAACUAGAAAAUGGUGCUCUGUGUCCAGAAUAAGUGUUUUCAGAUGGGGAGUUUUGCCAGUUUUGCUAUAGUGGUGUAUUUGUACUAGCAUUAUUCCCUGUGUAGACAAGCCUGUAGAAUCCCCAGCUGAAGCUAGCUUAUGGUGGAAGAUCCUUGCUCCAUGCACCUGGUCUUGUCCCAGUAAAUCGCUGGUGGGGUACCAGUAACUGGACUGGAUGACUGGGCUUUACUGGGCGUGAAUGCACUGGGAGGCCCAGGCUGGGAUUACCAUUUGGGCUAGAAGACUCUCCGCGAGAGGAGAGAACUUUGGGCCAAGCAGGUUGAUUUCACCAGGACUGGUGUUUGUGCUGUCUAAGUCGCAAACCCAGCUGCAGCUCCCCAGACUUCAGUGGAGGGAAAUGCCCCUCAGAAGUAGCAUCAGGGGAGACAUAACCUUCUCCCUCAGAGGAUACAAAUCUGAGGAGUUUCAGAAGCUCACUGAGCAGUUUCAAUCAACAAUAUCUAUUGGCAGAGAAAUUCAAAAGUUAAUCCCCGAUUGUGGCAAUCAGGGUCCAGAACACAAGUGAUUAGAGACAUGAACUUAAGGCAACAGGAAUAAGUGCACUUAUUUCUCAAGGGGAGAAAAAGUUUAUCGCUUCCCCCAGAUGCAUCCCAUGGCAGACACGGAGCAGGGAAAUCAAACGUCCAUCACAGAAUUCAUCCUCCUGGGAUUUGGGAAUAUCCCUAAACUGCGGGUUUUUCCUCUUCCUGCUGUUUCUAGCAAUCUACUUUGUGACUGUGGCUGGGAACAUCCUCAUCGUUGUGCUGGUUGUGUCUGAUCAGCAACUUCACACCCCCAUGUACUUCUUCCUGGGGAACUUGUCCUGCUUGGAGACCUGCUACACCUCCACCAUCCUGCCCAGGAUGCUGGCCAGUUUCCUGACUGAGGACAGAACCAUUUCUGUCAGUGGCUGCCUCGCACAAUAUUAUUUGUUUGAUUUCUUUGGA